rnacentral:rRNA from 1 species
GCGAGUGAAGCGGCAAGAGCUCAAAUUUGAAAGCUGGCUCCUUCGGGGUCCGCAUUGUAAUUUGUAGAGGAUGCUUCGGGAGCGGUCCCCAUCUAAGUGCCCUGGAACGGGACGUCAUAGAGGGUGAGAAUCCCGUAUGGGAUGGGGUGUCCGCGCCCGUGUGAAGCUCCUUCGACGAGUCGAGUUGUUUGGGAAUGCAGCUCUAAAUGGGUGGUAAAUUUCAUCUAAAGCUAAAUAUUGGCCGGAGACCGAUAGCGCACAAGUAGAGUGAUCGAAAGAUGAAAAGCACUUUGAAAAGAGAGUUAAAAAGCACGUGAAAUUGUUGAAAGGGAAGCGCUUGCGACCAGACUCGCUCGCGGGGUUCAGCCGGCAUUCGUGCCGGUGUACUUCCCCGCGGGCGGGCCAGCGUCGGUUUGGGCGGUCGGUCAAAGGCCCUCGGAAGGUAACGCCCC